rnacentral:rRNA from 1 species
GGACUCGCGAAUGCAUCCNAGAUUAGAGUUUGAUCAUUGGCUCAGAUUGAACGCUGGCGGCAGGCCUAACACAUGCAAGUCGAGCGGAUGACGGGAGCUUGCUCCUUGAUUCAGCGGCGGACGGGUGAGUAAUGCCUAGGAAUCUGCCUGGUAGUGGGGGACAACGUUUCGAAAGGAACGCUAAUACCGCAUACGUCCUACGGGAGAAAGCAGGGGACCUUCGGGCCUUGCGCUAUCAGAUGAGCCUAGGUCGGAUUAGCUAGUUGGUGGGGUAAUGGCUCACCAAGGCGACGAUCCGUAACUGGUCUGAGAGGAUGAUCAGUCACACUGGAACUGAGACACGGUCCAGACUCCUACGGGAGGCAGCAGUGGGGAAUAUUGGACAAUGGGCGAAAGCCUGAUCCAGCCAUGCCGCGUGUGUGAAGAAGGUCUUCGGAUUGUAAAGCACUUUAAGUUGGGAGGAAGGGCAGUAAGCUAAUACCUUGCUGUUUUGACGUU